CAGUCGCCGCGGGAAUACAGAGGGUGCGAGCGUUAAUCGGAUUUACUGGGCGUAAAGCGUGCGUAGGCGGCUUCUUAAGUCGGAUGUGAAAUCCCUGAGCUUAACUUAGGAAUUGCAUUCGAUACUGGUUAGCUAGAGUGUGGGAGAGGAUGGUAGAAUUCCAGGUGUAGCGGUGAAAUGCGUAGAGAUCUGGAGGAAUACCGAUGGCGAAGGCUGCCAUCUGGCCUAACACUGACGCUGAGGUACGAAAGCAUGGGGAGCAAACAGGAUUAGAUACCCCUGUAGUCCCUGUCUCUUAUAC
rnacentral:rRNA from 1 species